AGUGAACGCUGGCGGUAGGCCUAACACUUGCCAGUCGAACGGCAGCACAGUAAGAGCUUGCUCUUACGGGUGGCGAGUGGCGGACGGGUGAGGAAUACAUCGGAAUCUACUUUUUCGUGGGGGAUAACGUAGGGAAACUUACGCUAAUACCGCAUACGACCUACGGGUGAAAGCAGGGGAUCUUCGGACCUUGCGCGAUUGAAUGAGCCGAUGUCGGAUUAGCUAGUUGGCGGGGUAAAGGCCCACCAAGGCGACGAUCCGUAGCUGGUCUGAGAGGAUGAUCAGCCACACUGGAACUGAGACACGGUCCAGACUCCUACGGGAGGCAGCAGUGGGGAAUAUUGGACAAUGGGCGCAAGCCUGAUCCAGCCAUACCGCGUGGGUGAAGAAGGCCUUCGGGUUGUAAAGCCCUUUUGUUGGGAAAGAAAAGCAGCAGGUUAAUACCCCGCUGUUCUGACGGUACCCAAAGAAUAAGCACCGGCUAACUUCGUG
rnacentral:rRNA from 1 species